GGAGGGUGCGAGCGUUAAUCGGAUUUACUGGGCGUAAAGCGUGCGUAGGCGGCUUUUUAAGUCGGAUGUGAAAUCCCUGAGCUUAACUUAGGAAUUGCAUUCGGUACUGGGAAGCUAGAGUAUGGGAGAGGAUGGUAGAAUUCCAGGUGUAGCGGUGAAAUGCGUAGAGAUCUGGAGGAAUACCGAUGGCGAAGGCAGCCAUCUGGCCUAAUACUGACGCUGAGGUACGAAAGCAUGGGGGGAGCAAACAGGAUUAGAUGCCCUGGUAGUCCAUGCCCGUAAACGAUGUCUACUAGCCGUUGGGGGCCCUUUGAGGCUUUAGUGGCGCAGCUAGCGCGAUAAGUAGACCGCCUGGGGAGUACGGUCGCAAGACUA
rnacentral:rRNA from 1 species